GAUGAACGCUGGCGGCAUGCCUAACACAUGCAAGUCGAACGGUAAGGCUCUUCGGAGUACACGAGAGGCGGACGGCUGAGUAACGCGUAGGAACACACCCUGCAGUGAGGGAUAAGACACCGAAAGGUGUUCUAAUACCGCAUACGGUCUUCGGAUUAAAGCAUUUAUGCGCUGAAGGAGUGGCCUGCGUCAUAUUAGAUAGUUGGUGAGGUAAUGGCUCACCAAGUCGAUGAUGUGUAGCUGGUCUGAGAGGAUGAUCAGCCAGACUGGAACUGAGACACGGUCCAGACUCCUACGGGAGGCAGCAGUGAGGAAUAUUUCACAAUGAGCGAAAGCUUGAUGGAGCAAUGCCGCGUGCAGGAUGAAGGCCCUCGGGUUGUAAACUGCUUUUAUAAGAGAAGAUUAUGACGGUAACUUAUGAAUAAGGGACGGCUAACUACGUG
rnacentral:rRNA from 1 species